UUAAAUUGAAGAGUUUGAUCAUGGCUCAGAUUGAACGCUGGCGGCAGGCCUAACACAUGCAAGUCGAACGGUAACAGGAAGAAGCUUGCUUCUUUGCUGACGAGUGGCGGACGGGUGAGUAAUGUCUGGGAAACUGCCUGAUGGAGGGGGAUAACUACUGGAAACGGUAGCUAAUACCGCAUAACGUCGCAAGACCAAAGAGGGGGACCUUCGGGGCCUCUUGCCAUCGG
rnacentral:rRNA from 1 species